AGCAGUGUGGCAUAGUGGUAAAGAGCGGGGCUUGUAACCGAAAGGUUGAUGGUUCAAUUCCCCACUGGUG
rnacentral:tRNA from 1 species